GCAAGUCGAGGGGCGAGCACGGGAGUAGCAAUACAACGUGGUGGCGACCGGCGCACGGGUGAGUAACGCGUAUGCAACCUACCUAUCAGAGGGGAAUAACCCGGCGAAAGUCGGACUAAUACCGCAUAAAACAGGGGCACCGCAUGGUGAUAUUUGUUAAAGAAAUUCGCUGAUAGAUGGGCAUGCGUUCCAUUAGGUAGUUGGUGAGGUAACGGCUCACCAAGCCGACGAUGGAUAGGGGAACUGAGAGGUUGGUCCCCCACACUGGUACUGAGACACGGACCAGACUCCUACGGGAGGCAGCAGUGAGGAAUAUUGGUCAAUGGGCGGGAGCCUGAACCAGCCAAGUCCGCGUGAAGGAAGAAGGAUCUAUGGUUCGUAAACUUCUUUUGCAGGGGAAUAAAGUGCAGGACGUGUCCUGUUUUGUAUGUACCCUGAGAAUAAGGAUCGGCUAACUCCGUGCCAGCCGCGGC
rnacentral:rRNA from 1 species